rnacentral:tRNA from 1 species
UCCGCCAUAGCUCAGUUGGUAGUAGCGCAUGACUGUUAAUCAUGAUGUCGUAGGUUCGAGUCCUACUGGCGGAGUGA